rnacentral:lncRNA from 1 species
AUUUCGCAUAUCUUUUAACAGUUUCUGAAAAUGAUUGAGCACUUUGACUCGGCCACAGGGAACGUAUCAGUGGCCGAACAUCUCCCCGUGAGGAAACUCGAUGAAGACGAAGCGCUUUGCCCGUUUAAGGCAAUCAAGGGGCUCAGCUAUAUAAGCAUCCCAUCUCAGAGCUGGUUGAUGGCUUCUGCCAACAGAAGGUAGGGAUCGCUUUUCCUGCGAUUAGUUUCAUUUACGCAGUUUUUCUUUGCGUGGUAAAUUGUUGCUGGUGAAUGGGGGCGGAAAG